rnacentral:tRNA from 1 species
GCGGAGGUCGCCUAGUGGCUAUGGCGGCAGCCUGCUAAGCUGUUAACCCGUUUAGGGUUGCGCGGGUUCGAAUCCCGCCCUCCGCG